AUUGAACGCUGGCGGCAGGCCUAACACAUGCAAGUCGAACGAGUGGCGGACGGGUGAGUAAUGUCUGGGAAACUGCCUGAUGGAGGGGGAUAACUACUGGAAACGGUAGCUAAUACCGCAUACCAUCGGAUGUGCCCAGAUGGGAUUAGCUAGUGGGGGGGGUAACGGCUCACCUAGGCGACGAUCCCUAGCCGGGCUGAGAGGAUGACCAGCCACACUGGAACGGAGACACGGUCCAGACGCAUACGGGAGGCAGAAGGGGGGAAUAUUGCACAAUGGGCGCAAGCCUGAUGCAGCCAUGCCGGGGGUAUGAAGAAGGCCGUCGGGUUGUAAAGUACUGUCAGCGGGGAGGCGUUACCAGCAGAAGAAGCACCGGCUAACUCCGUGCCAGCCGCCGCGGUAAUAC
rnacentral:rRNA from 1 species